CGGGAAUGCACCAUUCAAGUUGGUCUGCCAACCGCCAUUAACACCAGAAGAAGAUGAUGAAGAAGAAGCUGCAGGACUACUACAUAAAGAAGUUUACCCAACUGCGAUGACUUGUUCUUCUGCUUCCCCGGAAAAGUGAAAAGGGACGGAGAAAGAACUAAAUCUGUAGGUUAUUCCUGCAAACAAUUUGGACCAUUCCCGGAUUUCCAGUAUCAUCUGCUCUCUCCUCACUGCAGUCUAAUGCUGCUGUUUACAUCUGCUUCAUUUGCUAUACCUACUAUCAUCCCUGCUGUGUCUGUGC
rnacentral:lncRNA from 1 species